rnacentral:rRNA from 1 species
CUACGGGCUGCUGCAGGCGAGAAAACUUUGCAAUGUGCGAAAGCACGACAAGGUUAAUCCGAGUGGUUUCUGCUAAAGGAACCUUUUGUCGGUCCUAGAAACACCGAUGAAUAAGGGGUGGGCAAGUUCUGGUGUCAGCCGCCGCGGUAAAACCAGCACCUCAAGUGGUCAGGAUGAUUAUUGGGCCUAAAGCAUCCGUAGCCGGCUCUGUAAGUUUUCGGUUAAAUCUGUACGCUUAACGUACAGGCUGCCGGGAAUACUGCAUAGCUAGGGAGUGGGAGAGGUAGACGGUACUCGGUAGGAAGGGGUAAAAUCCUUUGAUCUAUUGAUGACCACCUGUGGCGAAGGUGGUCUACCAGAACACGUCCGACGGUGAGGGAUGAAAGCUGGGGGAGCAAACCGGAUUAGAUACCCUCGUAGUC